AUUCUGUGCUGUAUCAAACUCCUGCUCAGCAGAAUCGUCCAAAAAUUUCACAGGUGACAAAAACGUUUUGCCAGUGGUGGUGUGGACAGAACAGUUUUGAUGUACAGGGGAGUUCUGGGAAGACCUCAGUGGUGAUACUGCUCCUGACUGUUCACACAGGUCCAUUACGUCCUCUACAAAACCUGCAAGCCGCUUAGCGGUGGAGCAAUCCGGAUAGCCUGAGGAAAUAGUCAGGACCCAGAUGAACCUGUGCUGGAAUUCAGUGUGGGCUAGGGCCUAUUAUAUGCUGUAGCCUGAAGGCAGCUGAGUUGCAGAGGAUGGAGUGAUCACUGGCUUUCUACUUACAGGGUGGUGGGUCUCAGAGGACAAUUGCUACCCCUGUUGAAGUGAACAACGUGUGGAGUGCAACUGGCUUUGUGGCAUAGCUGGCUCUGGCCUUGGACUGUGUGUUUUUACUUUGUACCUAAAUGGGACACUGGACUUGUAACUAUUAUUCAUUGUGUUUAUAAAUAAAAUUUUAGAAUUUUAUUGACUGUCAUCUUUUUGCCCACGGCGGAGACGGUUGGUCAGACCUGGAAUCUCUUUAUGUGUGUGUGUGUGUGUGUGUGUAACAUCAGCAGGGU
ensembl:lncRNA